rnacentral:rRNA from 1 species
UACGUAGGGUGCGAGCGUUGUCCGGAAUUAUUGGGCGUAAAGGGCUCGUAGGCGGUUUGUCGCGUCGGGCGUGAAAACACCGGGCUUAACUCGGUGCUUGCUUUCGAUACGGGCAGACUAGAGGUAUGCAGGGGAGAACGGAAUUCCUGGUGUAGCGGUGAAAUGCGCAGAUAUCAGGAGGAACACCGGUGGCGAAGGCGGUUCUCUGGGCAUUACCUGACGCUGAGGAGCGGAAGUGUGGGGAGCGAACAGG